rnacentral:rRNA from 1 species
CAGUCGCCGCGGUAAUACGUAGGUGGCAAGCGUUGUCCGGAAUUAUUGGGCGUAAAGCGUGCGCAGGCGGUUGUGUAAGACAGGUGUGAAAUCCCCGGGCUUAACCUGGGAACUGCGCUUGUGACUGCACAGCUAGAGUAUGGCAGAGGGGGGUGGAAUUCCACGUGUAGCAGUGAAAUGCGUAGAGAUGUGGAGGAACACCGAUGGCGAAGGCAGCCCCCUGGGCCAAUACUGACGCUCAUGCACGAAAGCGUGGGGAGCAAACAGGAUUAGAUACCCGUGUAGUCCCUGUCUCUUAUAC